AUCGGAACUCGAGGCGGGGCUGCUGGGUCUUCCAGGAGCGCCCAGACGCGGGCAGGUGGCCGCCGGUGGCCACAGGCCUGGGCAGGAUGGAAGCGCCCGCAGAGCGGGCGCUUCCACGUCUGCAGGCUCUGGCUCGGCCGCCGCCACCCAUAAGCUACGAGGAGGAGCUUUACGACUGCCUGGACUACUACUACCUGCGCGACUUCCCGGCCUGCGGGGCAGGGCGCAGCAAGGGCCGGACUCGGCGCGAGCAGGCGCUGCGCACCAACUGGCCUGCACCUGGCGGGCACGAGCGCAAGGUCGCGCAGAAGCUCCUCAAUGGCCAGCGCAAGCGCCGCCAGCGCCAGCUGCAUCCCAAGAUGCGCACUCGCCUCACCUGAGCCUGGGAUACCGAAGGACCUGUUCGAAGUAUUUACUGUAACUCCAACUGUAACUUGGUUCUGAGGAGGAGAGAAUCCAUGUUUGGUCAACAGAACUUUUCGCUGUCACUUAAGUUUACUGCUUCGAUAUCUUUUCCUUACUAAUUGAUUGUUAAUUAAGUAGUGCCCAAGUGGAUUAGCCUUUUUAGAGUUUAUUAAUUAAAAGAGAGCAGCAAGAAUGGCA
rnacentral:lncRNA from 1 species